UACAGGGGUCUCAAGCGUUGUUCGGAUUCAUUGGGCGUAAAGGGUGCGUAGGUGGCGCCGUAAGUCAGGUGUGAAAUCUCGGGGCUUAACUCCGAAACUGCAUUUGAUACUGCGGUGCUUGAGGACUGGAGAGGAGACUGGAAUUUACGGUGUAGCGGUGAAAUGCGUAGAUAUCGUAAGGAAGACCAGUGGCGAAGGCGGGUCUCUGGACAGUUCCUGACACUGAGGCACGAAGGCCAGGGGAGCAAACGGG
rnacentral:rRNA from 1 species